AGUGAACGCUGGCGGUAGGCCUAACACAUGCAAGUCGAACGGCAGCACAGUAAGCUUUUGCUUUUACUGGUGGCGAGUGGCGGACGGGUGAGGAAUACAUCGGCAUCUUCUUUUUCGUGGGGUAUUACGUAGGGAAACUUACGCUAAUACCGCAUACGACCUACGGGUGAAAUCAGGAGAUCUUCGCACCCUGCCCGAUUGAAUGAGCCGAGGCCGGAUUAGCUAGUUGGCGGGGUAAAGGCCCACCAAGCCGAUGAUCCGUAGCCGAUCUGAGAGGAUGAUCAGCCACACUGGAACUGAGACACGGUCCAGACUCCUACGGGAGGCAGCAGUGGGGAAUAUUGGACAAUGGGCGCAAGCCUGAUCCAGCAAUACCGCGUGAGUGAAGAAGGUCUUCGGGUUGUAAAGCCCUGUUGUUGGGAAAGAAAAGAAGCAGGUUAAAACGCCGAUGUUCUGACGGUACCCAAAGAAUAAGCACCGGCUAACUUCGUG
rnacentral:rRNA from 1 species